rnacentral:tRNA from 1 species
GCUCCUAUCGUUUAAUGGUUAAGACAAUGCUUUUUCGUGGUAUAAAUGUGAGUUCGAGUCUCACUAGGAGUA